UGGGGGAUAACGUAGGGAAACUUACGCUAAUACCGCAUACGACCUACGGGUGAAAGCAGGGGAUCUUCGGACCUUGCGCGAUUGAAUGAGCCGAUGUCGGAUUAGCUAGUUGGCGGGGUAAAGGCCCACCAAGGCGACGAUCCGUAGCUGGUCUGAGAGGAUGAUCAGCCACACUGGAACUGAGACACGGUCCAGACUCCUACGGGAGGCAGCAGUGGGGAAUAUUGGACAAUGGGCGCAAGCCUGAUCCAGCCAUACCGCGUGGGUGAAGAAGGCCUUCGGGUUGUAAAGCCCUUUUGUUGGGAAAGAAAUCCAGCCGGCUAAUACCCGGUUGGGAUGACGGUACCCAAAGAAUAAGCACCGGCUAACUUCGUGCCAGCAGCCGCGGUAAUACGAAGGGUGCAAGCGUUACUCGGAAUUACUGGGCGUAAAGCGUGCGUAGGUGGUCGUUUAAGUCCGUUGUGAAAGCCCUGGGCUCAACCUGGGAACUGCAGUGGAUACUGGGCGACUAGAGUGUGGUAGAGGGUAGCGGAAUUCCUGGUGUAGCAGUGAAAUGCGUAGAGAUCAGGAGGAACAUCCAUGGCGAAGGCAGCUACCUGGACCAACA
rnacentral:rRNA from 1 species